ACAUCAAUGUGUAACUUCAUGCAUGGUAGUCCUGUACUCAAGUUGAUGGGACUGUUCUCAAACAUAAAGCUUCCCUUGAAGCUCAUUUCUCUAGUGCUCCAGCAUUGGCACAGGACUCCCAAUAGCUUUUUGGGUGCAAUUCAAAGUGCUGAUGUUGACCCAGAAGGCCCUAAAUGAGCUAGCUCCUAUACAUCUAUGGGACCACAGUCUCCUUUAUGCUCCAGUGUGAUCCCUGAAGUUGGCCAAGAGCAACAUCCUGCAAGUGCCAUCAGCACGUGUCUGCAAGAACACCUAGGAAGUCAUUUUGGCACUAGCUCCUCAGGCUGGGAACUCCCUCCUCCUUGAAGCCCAUCAGAAGUCAAGCCUGGACACUUUCUGGAAGCUCUGUAGGACCACCAUAUACAGGCAGAUGUCUAGCAAGCAAAGCUAAGUUUGGGUUUAGGGAGUUUUUGCUAUGUGUCUUACCUUAAUAUAUUUUAUCUGCCUUUAAAAGUGAUUGUUUUGCCUCUUGAUGUAAGCUGCAUUGUGUCUUUGUUGGAAUUGAAUAAAUAAUUUGAAUGCAUACCUUGAUUUAAUGGCAGAGACUCCCUAUGCCUGACAAAGGGUGACUGCACUCCAAAGCUUGCUAAGAACUUUUAUUAGACCAACUUGAGUAGUUGGGGAAAAAAAAUCACAUCUACCCAAAGAACCUUGUGUGCCCUUAUUUAAAAGAUUUCAGGAUCAGGACCUAAGCCAAGACAAUUUCUGACCACCGACUGUGACUCACAAACAGAGAGACGGUAAAGUCUAAAAUCCUAUUGGUGAAAGCACUGGACCAAAGGAUUCAUUCAGCAAGAAUAUUUCAUGCCUGAACGACCAUGUGGAAGAAGCUGCAAAUGUAUCUACGCUGAGCAUACGGAUGGAUGACGCGUCUGCAUUGGUAUAAAAUGGAAAGGACAGACCACAACCACCACUAGAUAAGUUAGUCCAAUAAAGUGCAGAAACCCCCCUGAAUGAACCAGAGAUAAAACGCCACUGGUGGCCUGCAGUUGUGAGACAAUUUUGCCGCAGCAUAAGGCACAUGAAGAACUUCAGAGGACUGAGGCAUUAGAUUCAGCUACCCAGGGUGCAGCACAGAAAGGAUUCUUUGCAGAAACUACAGAAGCUGGAGGCAAAGCUCAAAUAAAUCAGCUUGGAGGCUCCUGUUCUGGAUGCUUUCCUAAAGGAAAGACCAAUGAAAUGUUCUACUGACAUUUGAAUUUAUACUAUUUUGAAUGCAAAAUUGAUACUAAAUUCAAGAUUCUGGAAAAGCAGAGUUGAAGGAAGCAGAUCUCAUGACAAAGGAGGAGAAAGGGGUGAGACUGUUUAAGUGACAAGCCAGAAAAAAACUUUCUGUACCUCACCAUUUUGAAUGGGGAUCUGGAGAGGAAAAGUUUGCUUCAGCUAAGACAGAAAGGAGGUUCACCAUCUCUCCAUCUGCAGUCUGCAAUAUCAGGGAUCCAUGUCUGCUGCAAUGCUGUCUCUCUUCAGUCUUCCUGGGUCCUCAGUGAGACUUGGUGAGCUGCUGCUAGCAGCGCCUUCCUGGCUUGUGAUGCCCAUUCUGGAAACCUUCUCAUCCUACAAUGGUCUGAUCUCCCUAGUAAUCUUGGAUGCAAUUCGAGGUGGGGACAGCUUGUGGACACUCCAGUGAAAAUACCAGACUAUAGAUGCACCCCUGUGAAUUAUCACACUGAACAGCUUCAGUGGCAAGUACUUUCAUCCCGCACUAACUUACCCUUAUACAGAUGAGACAGUGAGAGUAUGAAAGAUGUUUGGCCUCCUCUCAUGCCUGCUUUAGAUUGUCCAGAGCCUAUAGCUUCAUAGUAGUUUCCUUAGACUGCACAGCUGAUAGAAAUAUAGCUUGCUUUUCUAUUUUAGUUGCCUAUUUUCCCACCCAUGCCUAGUCAAACCUGGUAGCUGCAUUUCCAAAGAAGGAUUUAAUUGGGAUAUUUAGAAAUAUGUCAUCCAAUGCACCUGUUUUGAGAUAACAGAAUCUGUGUACAACUUUCUAGCAUGGCAUUUGUUGAAACUCCCCUAGGAACCAAUGUAUCUUGAAGUAUUAUCAUUGUCGUCUUCAGUUCGAUGGUUAGUAGAAAUGCACAACUACUGCAAAUUUUUCUGGAGCUCACUUCCACUGUGUCUAAUGAGGCACAUCUACAUUAGACGUUUACUGCAGAGCUGCCUAAUUAGCUCUGCAGUAAAGUCUCCACAUCUAUACAUGUGUCCCUAUUAGGCCACGGUAAACUAAUAAACUCCAUUGUAGAUUAGUACUUCUAAAUACAAGUAUUAUCCUGCAGUGGUAUUAUUUACUGCAUAGCAAUGCACAUGUAGAACCUGAAAGGGCUGGCUGUGGCCUGAGGGUGCUUCAGUGAAGGGGCUGCCUGUUGACUAUCUCCACACUACAGCACACUUGUGCCCCACCCAGCUCCUUCACAGCACACUGAGAGAGGUCAAAGGAGCCCCAGGAUGGCCCCUGGGCCCCUUGCCAAAUGAGGCUGCUCCAACCCAGCUCAACAGGCUGUGGUCUGAGAUGCACAUGUAAACACAGCACCUGAGAGCAAUAAACUCCAGCAUGAUAUGUGCUGGAGUUUGUUGCUUUGCAUUAAUUGCAUGAGUAGAUGCAUCCAUGAAUACUGUGUCCUUCCUAUAAAGAAGCCCCCAUUAGCUAGUGUUUGAUUUUGGCCUUUCCGCUUAUAUCUAUUUCAUUGCAGUUUUUUCUAUCCAAUCUUGUAUGGUGAUACAAUUUUAAUGAAAGAUAAGGAAGCAUGAUGAAGAAACAGAGAAAAAAAAUAUCUUGGAGAACAUUUGUACCUGUUGAUUGUUUAUGUUUAACAUCUCUGAAUUUCAUCCUAAAAUUGAUCACCAUCCAAUUCAACUGUAGCUUGCAAGCCAUCAGAAAAAGAGGGAAUCAGACGAAGAAGGAUUGGGAUUAAGAAGGCUAUCCUUCUUAAUGAAUGGAAAAGGUCAUUCUUACUGACCAAACACAAAGCCUUUGGGGUCUUGAAAGCAAUAGAGUGGGGUUUUUUUUCUUUUUUAGCCAUGACUUGCAGUUGCCUUAGAACAGUGGUUCCCAAACUUUUUUUUCAUGACCCACUGCUGGGAGCAGAGUGCGGUGGUGGCAGUAGCCCGGGGACGGAGGAGCGCCUGGCAUACAGCGUGGCUCAACCUUUGUGUGCAGCACUACCAGCAUUGCCCCUGCAACCCUCAUUUGGGUUGCAGCCCGAGGCUGGGAACCGCUGCCUUAGAACAAAGAUCAUGUCAAGUGUUGCUUUAUCAGCAAAGAAGCCACACUGACAGAGCAAGGCAGCACCAGAGAGAUCUCGUCGGUGGACAUAGUUCUUCAUUCCAAGGGGUAUUUGGCAUACACCCAAAAGCCUGAAAACUGGGUUUUCAGGUUUAGUCACCAAGCCUUUAACCUGCUGGUAAUUAUACCUGUUUGCACUGUUCAAGCACUUGACACCUUUAGUUGUAGCGUUGACAUGUUGGCAUAGCUGUGAUGGUACAUGGACUAUGUAAGAAGCAAGGUUUGUUUCAUAAUCCCUUUAAGUGGACCAACUAUAUAGUUGUGAGAAUGGUGCAAUUGGUGGAGAAUAUAAGACCUUGUGCAUGAUAGCUACAUGGUACAUAGUUGAUAAAUGUUGAUGCAACUGGAGACAUGCAUUUGGUCAAGCAGCCUAUGUUAGUGUAGGGGGUUAUAAAGUUCUAAUAUCAUGUUGUAACAGGAAGAGAGGGGAGAUCCUGCACGUGGUAAUCCCAUCAGAAAAAAGUUGAAAGGUGGUAAGGCAUUCUUAUACAACGGUUUUAGCACGUGUUUUACAAUUACUGGUGUGGGGAAUAGACAAGCUUUUGCAACAAAAUGCCCUUUCUCAGGUGUGGGAAAGAAGUGGCCUAUGGUAAAUACAGGUAGAACAAUGGCUUUUAUUUAACUCUGUUAUGCAAGUGAAAGUAGUCACCUGAAGAAGGGGAAAGAGGCAGUAAAUCUAUGGAGCAAAGGUGAGUUAUUAGAAGGAGCUACAGACCAAGUAAAAACCAGUUGAAAUAGAUAAGCUGAAUCAUGUUGGGAAAGGACAGAAAUUCCCAGUCACGAGCAGGAGAAUACUUUUCACAGAACCAGCCACCCCAUCUCUGACCUCAUAAUCCUCAUUCUCAAGGGAAAUCUCCAAAACGCCGUGAGGAGGUGGGCUGCAGAACAAAAAUUCCUGACUUUAUGGGAAACUAAAAACCACAGACUAAACACGGAUAAUGGCUUGUAACAGUACCUGCACCCCCUGCUACCCUCUCUGUAUUCCACCAGAAAUAAUGACCCUUUCUCCUUUUAAAUGGUCUCAUUCUUUGACAUAAUUAGGUCUCUAUAUUUCAACUGCCAUUUUCUUGGGGUUUUGCUCCUUCUCUUAGCUCCACAGAAUUACUGCCCUCUUCCCCUUCUUUAAGUGACUAUUUUCACGUACAUAAUGGAGUUAAACAAAAGUCAUUGUUCCACUUGGUAAUUAGCUUACGCUCUAUUUAGUUCUUUUCUCAGACCAAAGGAAGAGCAGAGCAUUUUGUACCUGAAAGCUUGUCUACAAUCUCGCCAAAUUAGGUAGUUAGUCCACUAAAAGAUAUCACCAACGAAGCCUUGUCAAGAGACUUUCUCUGUAAUCAGCCCACUUUCUACAUCCAUUUUUACUCAGUCUGGAGCAUUAGAUAUCUAACCUUGAGAUGAGGUAACACAUACUAAGCAAGGAAAAGGCUGUAUCUUGUGCUUCACCCUGUGAAAGGUGCCAGGCCUUUAGUCUGAAUAUCUAUAGUAAUAUAAGCAUAACAUGUGUGGAGAAUAUUGUACUCCCCGAACUUAUUAAAGAAACCUCUGAAAAAUUAAUGUAAUGUCAGUAAUUGUGAUAGCAGUAAAGGUGACCCAAUGAACAUAAUACACUUAAACUUACAGGAAAAAAAAAGCUUUUGAUGAGCUCCUGUGUAAAAGAAUAUUAAGGGAAUGAAAGAAAUAUAGGGGAAAAGGGAAGAAAUUGUCAUGGAUUAACAUUUGGUAAGUGAUAAGAGAAGAUAAAAGUGUCAUAAUGAAUAACUGUUUCUCAUUGGCAUGAGAGGUUAACACUGUGUGUCCCAGAGAUUAGCAAGAGGCCUUGCAAUUACUUCUAUCGUGCUUAGUAAUUCAGGACAGGCACAGUGCAGUGAGCAAGUGAAAUUUGCUGAGGACAUUAUGCUGUUCCAGUUAAUGAUUACAGUCACAAGUUAUAUUAAAGUUACAUUUAUAAAUGGUUCAUAAAGUUAAUAAAUGAAUGAGACACCUCAUAAGCAUAUGACACACAUGAGGAGUAUGUGUUGCAGUUUUAUAACAAUUGAUUAACGGGUGAUUAAAUCACCCAUUAAUCACUUGCUAAACCUUUGUAAGCAAUAUAUAUAUAUAUUAUGUAUACAACCCCCUAAAUAUAAGAAUGAGUGCAAGUUUAGUAAACAGUCUGAAAAAGAAAUAUAGCCCCAUGCAAGGCUCCACUUGGAUAUGAAUGAGCUCACAUUAGUGAGACCAAACGGACCCUGGAAAACCCAACCACACAUUUCAGAUAAUUGCCUUGGGCUUUAAAUGUGGUAUUCUGAGGAUAAGAUGGCAGCUACCAUGAUUACACAAUGAGGAUGUUUGCCCAAUGGUAUCUGCCUUUACUCCUUACAGACAAUGCCUGGAUGCUAAAAAAGGAGAGGGAAAAAUAUUGGUAAAUUUGUGCCAGAAAAGGUAUAUCCUGUGUAGGCAAUUGUGGGUACAUCUACAUGUGCACCUUAAUGCACAUAGUCUAUUUUAAUGUGCAUUAAAGCAUUACAAAAAAAAACUGUGGGCAUUUAUAGACAUGCUCCUGGAGGUGCAGGGAGGGGCGCUUUAAUUAGCGUGGCUCCAAGAGCCACGCUAAUUAAAGCUCCUGUAGCAUCACAUGUAUCAGCGUCCCCACCCUGAAAAAUGGUGGCAGGGUGCUUUAAACUAAAGCUUGUUGAAUGAUUUUGUUUAAAGUGCCCUGCCAUCCUUUUUCAACAUGGGGACACUGAUACACAUGAUGCUGGAGUCUGCUGGAGCGCAGUAAUUACCACACUCCAGCAGACCAAUUAACUGAGGCUGCUCUUACACUAAUUACACCACAUUGGAGCAGCCUCCCUGUACGUGUAUAGGAGCCCUGAGUGCUUUUGCUAAUGUACAUUAAAAUAGGCAAAUGCACCUUUUCCUAGCACUUCACAAUGGAGGUAAUAAAUUUAAUACGCAUUAGCAAAAGCACAUGACUGCAUGUGUAGACACACCCUGUGAGAUAGACUGAAGUCAAAAUGUUCAAAUCAUCCCCUACAUUUGGCUCUUUAGAGGUGAAAGGCCUUUGGGUUUUGUCAUGGCUGUAAGGAAUAUCGUAGGGUUGGGUUGGCCAAGUUGCAACAUGGGCCUCUGUGCAGCUUGUGGGAGACUAGGGAGGGAGCAGGGAGCACAGCACCAGAUAGGGCAGGGAGAAAGCAAAGUAGCAAUGUGAGCAGGGUGCGCAGGAUUGGGAGCAGAAAUCAGUGUAUCUGGUUGAGCAGGGAAGGGGAUCUCAGCGGCACUCGAGGAGGGUGUGGGACUAAUUUGCUUGCUAAAUAGCUAGGCCCCCACUUUCAUGAGAAUAUCAAAUAUUUACUUGCCUGCUUCUUUCCACAAAAAAAAAAAAAAAAUCGAAGUUCCAAGGACAUUAAAAUAUAAAUAUGCAGAAAAUUAGAAUUAUGCUCACCCAUAGAAAAGCACCUACCCCCUUUAAAGAAAUACACAUUCUUAGCAUCUAAUGAAUACAGAGAAGACAGUUCCAUUAUAGUGCAAGUUGUUAUGACCUAAAAUAAGUCUGAGUAUUUGCCUUUUCACCAUUGUUUUUCUGUGUUUUAGAAUAAUUGAGUUUUAUGAUUGUCAAUACUAAUGUUUUCCUGUCCCCCAAUUUAGUUGUUAUCUAGGACUUGAUAUGACAGCCUAAUAUAUUAGUUACAUGACUUAUCCUACCGAGCAUCUUGAUUAAAAUCUCUUGAUUAAAAGUCUCUUUGCUAA